UAACUUUAUCCAUUAUAAAUCCAUUGAUAAAGGCAUUUGCUAUAUCAAAUAUUGACUUUCACCAUUUGAUAUUAAUUUCCUUAAUCAAUUUAAUGGAAAGAGCAACCUUGCUUCACCUCAUGUUAAAUGUGCCUGCUUCUGGGACUUUGCGACUGCAAUCGACAAAUAAGGUGAUUCCUCAAAACCUCAAAACUAUAUUAGCCAAAGUUAAGUGACUUGAAGAGUUACCAGGAGUGCUAUGAGCACAAAGGACAAUGACCAAGUCAAGCAUGGGAGAGAUGCAUUUUCUCUCGUAUACUGAGUAGAAGCCUUGAUCUCGGUGGAAGUGGGAGAACCUACUAUGAAAUACUUUCAGGCGGCCGCAAAAACAAACAUUGAAGCAUUGCUAGUCAAAUUGGAGCUGGUUAACGAACGCAAGGACUUAACCCAU
rnacentral:lncRNA from 1 species